rnacentral:rRNA from 1 species
CCCUUAGAUGUUCUGGGCUGCACGCGCGCUACACUGAUGCGCUCAACGAGUUUUAACCUUGCCUGGAAAGGUUGGGUAAUCUUUUUAAAACGCAUCGUGAUGGGGAUAGAUUAUUGCAAUUAUUAAUCUUCAACGAGGAAUUCCUAGUAGACGUAGUUCAUCAGACUGCAUCGAUUACGUCCCUGCCCUUUGUACACACCGCCCGUCGCUCCUACCGAUUGAAUGCUCAGGUGAGCCAUUCGGACUUUCAUCAUGCUGGUUUCCAGUUUUGAUGAAGGAAAGUCUUGCGAACCUUAUCAUUUAGAGGAAGGAGAAGUCGUAACA